GCUUUAUCCGAUUUAUCAAUCUGCAAUGACAUCUACGCUCAUUUCGACCAGGUGCGACAGUUUCGUGAAUCAGACUUGAGGAUUCUCCUGGUUUUCUUCAGAAAGACCGAGAACGCUCAAUAGGUGGCGGUAAUGCACCUUUACAGAUUGUGUCAACUGACAGAAGAAGAACCCUCUUGUUCGUUCCAGUUCCAGCACGUCAUUUGUCGUUUUUAAUAACAUUUCGUAAAACUAGAACAAAAGUAUCGCUUAAAUGAUGGAGGAGAAACCCAACCUGCUGCUCUCCUUCCACACUGAGGUCAAACAAGAACCACUAGAUGCUGAUUGUGACAGUAAUG